rnacentral:misc_RNA from 1 species
AAAAUGCGAUAAGUAAUGUGAAUUGCAGAAUUCAGUGAAUCAUCGUAUCUUUGAACGCACAUUGCGCCCGCCAGUAUUCUGGCGGGCAUGCCUGUUCGAGCGUCAUUUCAACCCUCAAGCCCCCGGGUUUGGUGUUGGGGAUCGGGCUGCGGUUCUACCGCGUCCCGGCCCCGAAAUCUAGUGGCGGUCUCGCUGCAGCCUCCAUUGCGUAGUAGCUAACACCUCGCAACUGGAACGCGGCGCGGCCAAGCCGUUAAACCCCCAACUUCUGAAUGUUGACCUCGGAUCAGGUAGGAAUACCCGCUGAACUUAAGC